GGGUUGUGAGGUUAAGCGACUAAGCGUACACGGUGGAUGCCCUGGCAGUCAGAGGCGAUGAAGGACGUGCUAAUCUGCGAAAAGCGUCGGUAAGGUGAUAUGAACCGUUAUAACCGGCGAUGUCCGAAUGGGGAAACCCAGUGCAAUUCGUUGCACUAUCGUUAACUGAAUACAUAGGUUAACGAGGCGAACCGGGGGAACUGAAACAUCUAAGUACCCCGAGGAAAAGAAAUCAACCGAGAUUCCCCCAGUAGCGGCGAGCGAACGGGGAGCAGCCCAGAGUCUGAAUCAGCUUGUGUGUUAGUGGAACGGUCUGGAAAGUCCGACGGUACAGGGUGAUAGUCCCGUACACCAAAAUGCACAGGCUGUGAACUCGAAGAGUAGGGCGGGACACGUGGUAUCCUGUCUGAAUAUGGGGGGACCAUCCUCCAAGGCUAAAUACUCCUGACUGACCGAUAGUGAACCAGUACCGUGAGGGAAAGGCGAAAAGAACCCCGGCGAGGGGAGUGAAAAAGAACCUGAAACCGUGUACGUACAAGCAGUGGGAGCACCUUCGGGUGUGACUGCGUACCUUUUGUAUAAUGGGUCAGCGACUUAUAUUCUGUAGCAAGGUUAACCGUAUAGGGGAGCCGCAGGGAAACCGAGUCUUAACUGGGCGUUAAGUUGCAGGGUAUAGACCCGAAACCCGGUGAUCUAGCCAUGGGCAGGUUGAAGGUUGGGUAACACUAACUGGAGGACCGAACCGACUAAUGUUGAAAAAUUAGCGGAUGACUUGUGGCUGGGGGUGAAAGGCCAAUCAAACCGGGAGAUAGCUGGUUCUCCCCGAAAGCUAUUUAGGUAGCGCCUCGUGAAUUCAUCUUCGGGGGUAGAGCACUGUUUCGGCUAGGGGGUCAUCCCGACUUACCAACCCGAUGCAAACUACGAAUACCGAAGAAUGUUAUCACGGGAGACACACGGCGGGUGCUAACGUCCGUCGUGAAGAGGGAAACAACCCAGACCGCCAGCUAAGGUCCCAAAGUCAUGGUUAAGUGGGAAACGAUGUGGGAAGGCACAGACAGCCAGGAUGUUGGCUUAGAAGCAGCCAUCAUUUAAAGAAAGCGUAAUAGCUCACUGGUCGAGUCGGCCUGCGCGGAAGAUGUAACGGGGCUAAACCAUGCACCGAAGCUGCGGCAGCGACACUAUGUGUUGUUGGGUAGGGGAGCGUUCUGUAAGCCUGCGAAGGUGGCCUGUGAGGGUUGCUGGAGGUAUCAGAAGUGCGAAUGCUGACAUAAGUAACGAUAAAGCGGGUGAAAAGCCCGCUCGCCGGAAGACCAAGGGUUCCUGUCCAACGUUAAUCGGGGCAGGGUGAGUCGACCCCUAAGGCGAGGCCGAAAGGCGUAGUCGAUGGGAAACAGGUUAAUAUUCCUGUACUUGGUGUUACUGCGAAGGGGGGACGGAGAAGGCUAUGUUAGCCGGGCGACGGUUGUCCCGGUUUAAGCAUGUAGGCUGGUUAUCCAGGCAAAUCCGGAUAAUCAAGGCUGAGGUGUGAUGACGAGGCACUACGGUGCUGAAGUAACAAAUGCCCUGCUUCCAGGAAAAGCCUCUAAGCAUCAGGUAACAUCAAAUCGUACCCCAAACCGACACAGGUGGUCAGGUAGAGAAUACCAAGGCGCUUGAGAGAACUCGGGUGAAGGAACUAGGCAAAAUGGUGCCGUAACUUCGGGAGAAGGCACGCUGGUGUGUAGGUGAAGUCCCUGCGGAUGGAGCUGAGACCAGUCGAAGAUACCAGCUGGCUGCAACUGUUUAUUAAAAACACAGCACUGUGCAAACACGAAAGUGGACGUAUACGGUGUGACGCCUGCCCGGUGCCGGAAGGUUAAUUGAUGGGGUUAUCCGUAAGGAGAAGCUCUUGAUCGAAGCCCCGGUAAACGGCGGCCGUAACUAUAACGGUCCUAAGGUAGCGAAAUUCCUUGUCGGGUAAGUUCCGACCUGCACGAAUGGCGUAAUGAUGGCCAGGCUGUCUCCACCCGAGACUCAGUGAAAUUGAACUCGCUGUGAAGAUGCAGUGUACCCGCGGCAAGACGGAAAGACCCCGUGAACCUUUACUAUAGCUUGACACUGAACAUUGAGCCUUGAUGUGUAGGAUAGGUGGGAGGCUUUGAAGCGUGGACGCCAGUCUGCGUGGAGCCAACCUUGAAAUACCACCCUUUAAUGUUUGAUGUUCUAACGUUGGCCCCUGACCGGGGUUGCGGACAGUGUCUGGUGGGUAGUUUGACUGGGGCGGUCUCCUCCCAAAGCGUAACGGAGGAGCACGAAGGUUAGCUAAUCCUGGUCGGACAUCAGGAGGUUAGUGCAAUGGCAUAAGCUAGCUUGACUGCGAGCGUGACGGCGCGAGCAGGUGCGAAAGCAGGUCAUAGUGAUCCGGUGGUUCUGAAUGGAAGGGCCAUCGCUCAACGGAUAAAAGGUACUCCGGGGAUAACAGGCUGAUACCGCCCAAGAGUUCAUAUCGACGGCGGUGUUUGGCACCUCGAUGUCGGCUCAUCACAUCCUGGGGCUGAAGUAGGUCCCAAGGGUAUGGCUGUUCGCCAUUUAAAGUGGUACGCGAGCUGGGUUUAGAACGUCGUGAGACAGUUCGGUCCCUAUCUGCCGUGGGCGCUGGAGAAUUGAGGGGGGCUGCUCCUAGUACGAGAGGACCGGAGUGGACGCAUCACUGGUGUUCGGGUUGUCAUGCCAAUGGCACUGCCCGGUAGCUAAAUGCGGAAGAGAUAAGUGCUGAAAGCAUCUAAGCACGAAACUUGCCCCGAGAUGAGUUCUCCCUGAGACUUUAAGUCUCCUGAAGGAACGUUAAAGACGAUGACGUUGAUAGGCCGGGUGUGUAAGCGCAGCGAUGCGUUGAGCUAACCGGUACUAAUGAACCGUGAGGCUUAACCUUACAACGCCGAAG
rnacentral:rRNA from 1 species